rnacentral:rRNA from 1 species
UAGGGAAUCUUCCACAAUGGGCGAAAGCCUGAUGGAGCAACGCCGCGUGUGUGAUGAAGGGUUUCGGCUCGUAAAACACUGUUGUAAGAGAAGAAUGACAUUGAGAGUAACUGUUCAAUGCGUGACGGUAUCUUGCCAGAAAGGAACGGCUAAAUACGUGCCAC